rnacentral:rRNA from 1 species
UACGUAGGUGGCAAGCGAUACUCGGAAUCACUAGGCGUAAAGCGCAGGUAGGCGGUUUGGUAAGUCUUUUGUGAAAGCUCCUGGCUUAACUGGGAGAGGUCAAAGGAAACUACCAGGCUAGAGUGUGGCAGAGGAAACUGGAAUUCCCGGUGUAGCGGUGAAAUGCGUAGAUAUCGGGAGGAAUACCUAUGGCGAAAGCAGGUUUCUGGGCCAUCACUGACGCUGAUCUGCGAAAGCUAGGGGAGCAAACAGGG